UACGAAGGGGGCUAGCGUUGCUCGGAAUCACUGGGCGUAAAGCGCACGUAGGCGGACUCUUAAGUCGGUGGUGAAAUCCUGGAGCUCAACUCCAGAACUGCCUUCGAUACUGAGGAUCUCGAGUCCGGGAGAGGUGAGUGGAACUGCGAGUGUAGAGGUGAAAUUCGUAGAUAUUCGCAAGAACACCAGUGGCGAAGGCGGCUCACUGGCCCGGUACUGACG
rnacentral:rRNA from 1 species